CCGCUUGUUUCCAAUUGAAGUGUAAUGUGUUGAAUAACAAUUAAAUGCAACGAGUGCUAUGUGCUUAAAUAGAAAUAAAUUGAACGAGUUGCGUAAAUAAAUUGAACAGCUGGUUGCAGCGUAACCGUGAGCACCAUUUUGAAAUCAGCUAUGUGCUUUCCAAAAUCAAACAGAAUCCACAACUUUCUUCAGCAGAGUAAGAAGGAAAACCUCUGUAACAUUCAUCCAAAAUCUAAUAACUCCAUCAUUGUUCAAGAGAAAUGCUGCUACAAAAACGUCCCAGCCGAAAUGUGAAUUCUCGGCAGCUCCUCCCCGUGUUCCAGCCGAGAGUAAAAGAAAUNGUGCUCUCUAAAAAUCUGCUCAGCUGAGAGUAUGAGGCUCUCCAAAAAAUGUGACGGCUGCCAGGGGAUUCUAAUCCCUAGAGUCAAGUGUCCUAAAAAUUAGGGUGGGG
rnacentral:lncRNA from 1 species